rnacentral:rRNA from 1 species
CGGGGGAGGCAAGCGUUGUUCGGAUUUACUGGGCGUAAAGGGCGCGUAGGCGGCCACCGCAAGUCAGUUGUGAAAUCUCUGGGCUUAACCCAGAACGGUCAACUGAUACUGCGGGGCUAGAGUGCAGAAGGGGCAACUGGAAUUCUCGGUGUAGCGGUGAAAUGCGUAGAUAUCGAGAGGAACACCUGCGGCGAAGGCGGGUUGCUGGGCCGACACUGACGCUGAGGCGCGAAAGCCAGGGGAGCGAACGGG